UUUCCCUGAUCAAGAAAGAAGAGCAAAAGGUUAAACAUGAACCUGCAAACUUCCUUUAUUUCCAAGAUGAUCCUCUUUUCCAUUCAGUGCUUGUGUUGAAAAUUGAACUACCCAGAAAUGGAGAUAUGAAGGGUCUCAAGGACACACAGAAACAAGCAAAGGCCACAAGGGAUCCCAGGUCCGUCUCCUGUGCAUCCCAAAUUGGACCUCUGCUGCCACCACAUUUCCUACAUCUCUCAAAGGAACCCCAAAUUCCCAAAGAUGUUGCCUUCCUGCCUGGCAAAUUCAACACCCCAUUUAGGCAUGCUGAGAUGUCCACAGAACUGGUCUCGCCUGGACUAAGUCCCCGUUGGAUUGUUCACUCCCUUGGUUGAGCCGCAGGACGGCAUGCAAAUUCACAGGCACAGCGCAGUCGGGAAACCCUCCUUCCUGCCCAGCCCUUUCCACCCUGUCCAUUUCCGCCUCUAUUUCCUGCCCUCUGUUGUGGGGAAAGGCUUUUCAGCAGGUGAAGGCGAUUGAGAGAAACACGGGUUAUGUGCACAGGGUUGUAGGAACGUGUCUGCCGUAAUCUAAGCCAUUAAAUCCCAACCUGGGGAAGAACGGCACCCACUCUGUCCAUUCCUGUCCUGGAAGAUGCCUCACAAAUGACUUACUGAGCAUGAGCAAAACAGAAGGAAAAGGGAGGGAGCAGAUAAUUCAAUUGCCCCCUCCCCUGGCAUUAAAUAAAAGUAUGGGCCUCAAUAUUUGGCCAACCAAAAGGAAAUCUUGAGAAAAACAGAGGCUGUGGGGAAAAAAGUCUGCCUGGAUACUUUUUGGAGGAUGCCUCCAAGGGCCCGUCCAGACAGUCCCUUCAUCCCAGGAGCUUCCGUAGUAAACAGUAGGGUGGCCAGACACCGUUCCCUGUAAACCCAAAAGCAACCGCUAGAAAAGGCAAAAAACGCGAGAUUUCCAGGUGUGGGAAUAUCGUGGUUUUUGCCAAAUAUCCAGAUCUUCGCAUGUCUGCAUGUCCCUGGAAUCGGAAAUCACAGGAUUUUUGAACUGGGUUUGUUCCCGGGUUUUAGAUGCUUGUUCAUGAUUGGUUGGUUCCUAAAAGGAAGGUGACACUCGAGUAAGAAGGCAAAAACUUUGGCCAGGGAAGAGGAACUUCACCCUUCACCUGUUUAAUGAAGGUUGUGGCUGAAAAAUCGAGUUCCUGGGGUGCAACAAGUACCUUCACAGUAAGCAGUACACAAUGACACAGGAGCAGACACUUUCAAACCAGGAACAGAAUGCCAUCAUUACUAUAAUUACUCACACUUUGUUGUAUGCCAUCGGUGAAGACAGGUUUUGUAGUGUACUUGCGCCAGGGAACAACAUGAUGAUAUUGCCAGGCUAUACAUGUUGGUUCCUCAUUGGGUGUGUGCUGACAACAUGAGUAACGUAAAUGACAAAUGCUUACUACGGGCUGUUGGGACAGGGACGUGCUGGAGAGGAAUGUAAAUAUAUAGAGACAAGGUCAUGCAGGUGGCUAAUAGGGAAAGUCAUGUGGAACCUAGGAACAGCGCCCUGUUGUUCGAUGCCACAAGUACACAACCAAAUCUGUCUGGACAGAUGGCCAGGCAGCCAGGCUGUAAAAGUAGAAGAUAAGGACAAACUUCUGUUCCUGGCUUACAAUUGCCUGUUCCUGUUUUAUUGUGCAGUGCUGACUUGGGCAAGGUGGCCCUGCCCCAUUAGGUUUGUUUGUGUGGCAAAUACUUCAUGAAACGUUUGGAGGGCAGUUUCUCUGGCCAGGACAAAGAACGGAACUGUUGCAGUGAUCCGCAUAUCUGAAUCUCUGCAAAUCUGCAUCUUGCCAUUUUAAAAAAAAAACCCGCUGAGGUUUCAGGCAGAAGUCCUGCAGCAACCAUUUUGGGAGCCUCUAACUCUCGGAACAAAGCAGCAAGUCUGGACAAUGGAGGCAGAAAUCCCAGGACCAACAGGUCUGUAUGUGGACCUCUUCUGAAGUUCUGGGAUCUUUUGCCCCUGUUUAAAACCCGUGAUUUAGUGCUGUCUGGAAGUGCCCCAAGUGGCCUCUACAAGGUCCAAAAUGCUGUUCUCUGCUUCUGAAAGGCUUCCCUGACCUGGGACACACCUACCAUGUAGAACAAACACAAACUGAGUCCAACCUCAGCUGCCAUAGAUCAAUACUAUAGAAUUUUUGGGAGUUGCCAUUCAAUAAGGCAUCAGCUGUCAUGGAUCACUCUAUCUUCGAAGGAAGCCUUAGGAGUGACCAUGCCAUCAAAGAGCUGUGAACAAGAAGCUGUUAAUGAUGACCAUCUGGGUGAUCAAGGGUGGGAGAGGGAAGGUAACCAUAAUGGUUGUUAUGGAGACAGCAGUUAGGUUCCAUGGGAAUGUGUAAACAAUGAGGCGGUGAAAGGAAACAGGGAAGAGAUAUAACCUGGUGCAUUAGGGUUAGAGCUUAGAAGCAACUUUCUUUCUGACAUUAAGCCCUGUCUCUUCGGAAGGCUCUUUCUCUACCAACAAUGAGAGGUGUGUAGCAGCAGGAUGUCAGAGACUGGACACCUAGCGAGGCCUUAGAGACAACCCCGCAGGAGUUCUCCCCCUGUGGGACUGCAGCUCUCAUGGCUGCCCUAGCACUCGACCCGUCAUUUCUGGGAGAAGACCCAGAAGAGUCACUAAAUUUGGGAGAGAAUAGAGGACCACAGAGUUUGACCCAGUAUCCUGUGGGCCAAGGAGUCCCAGGUCUCUAGAGGAAUGGAUCAUCUUAGCGGGGAGAGUGGAGUAUGACAAAGAGCAAGUGAGACAAGGAGCCAGGGAUGGCGUCAUCAGGAGAAACACCGCAAUUGUCAGGAUGCAAAAAGCCAACUGACCUUUUCACAUCCGACCAGAGCAAAGGGGCGGGGAGAGCCGGAAGAGGAAGACCAUUUGUUUGGAAAGACUGAUUUAUGACCUGCUCUGGGUUUCAAACAUGGGAAAGAACUGUUGACGGGAAGGUGUGAAUGGGAAGGGGGAAACGUGGGAGAGGGAGGGAAGAAGCAUCUUGAUAUACUGGGGGGCUGGCGGAAAAGGGACAGUGUAAGCUUUGUGAUCAUCUUGGCAAGGCGGAUUCAAUAAAGUUUCCAUAGCC